AGAGUCUUUCUCUCCUUAUCCCCCGAGCAUUUCGGUCCCUCGUGAUUCGACUUCUCUUUCUGUAGUUUUAGUAUAGUAAGGUGAGCGCUGAAGCGCUGCACGAAUCUUUCUUAGAAAGAUUCAGCGACGAAGUUCUGCCCCUACAGAGCCCGACUCCUAGCUAAAAUCCCCUUGUAAGUUUCGUCGAAGGAAAUUAUUUUAAAGUAAACGAAGCGCUGUCCGAGUACCGAGUCACCACCUUCUCAAGUGUUGAUAUGAAGUGACACUACACUGAGAGAUUUAAAGAGAUGUAGAUCACUAGUGUAAAUAAUUGUAAGUUCUGUUUAUGCUUAUGUUUCUGUAUUAACGAUGACAUCCCAAAUGUUUUAAAAUGAAAUAAAUACGUUUCUUCGAAA